rnacentral:rRNA from 1 species
UACUGAGGGUGCGAGCGUUAAUCGGAAUUACUGGGCGUAAAGCGAGUGUAGGCGGCUAUAUAAGUCGGAUGUGAAAUCCCCGGGCUCAACCUGGGAAUUGCAUUCGAUACUGUGUAGCUAGAGUUUGAUAGAGGUAAGUGGAAUUCCAGGUGUAGCGGUGAAAUGCGUAGAUAUCUGGAGGAACAUCAGUGGCGAAGGCGGCUUACUGGAUCAAAACUGACGCUGAGGCUCGAAAGCGUGGGGAGCAAACAGG